rnacentral:rRNA from 1 species
AUGCGGUUGCAGUCUAGCACGGCAUACUUCACACCCCCAUCGUGCGCGGUUUCAUUUACUCCCCCACUUCUCUACUCACCCAACCCACCAUCCGCAGCAGUUCAUUCGAUUGGAGGAGAAGCCGAUAGGAGGAGGAGGCGGCGGAGGCGGAAGAGUCGACGGCAUUCGCGGCCGUCGGUGAGGCUCGCCGGACCAGAGAGUCUACGCCGGAGUGCCCGCAGCUUGAAGGUAAUGCUCCUCCCCGCGCUGACAUUCCUCCCUGCAUUUUCCCCUCUCCCCUCUGCGGUGGAUUUCUCCGCUCGAGAUUCAUAG